GAUUGCUCCAGCCGCAUCCCAGGGAGAGUGGUGGAGCUGCUUCUCAUUUCUGUCCCCCUCACCCACUGAGAUUCUGCUCUCCGGAACUCCAGUUUUCUCACCUGUGAAGUGAGCUUGGAAGGAUUUUAUGAGCCUAUAGGAUGUGGAAAAUCUUCCAACUCAACUCAAGUCAACCCAACUCAGCUCAGCUUAUUUCAACAACUCCACCACUCAACUCAGCUCAGUUCAACUUAACUUACCUCAACUCCCUUCACUCUACCUCACCUCAACUCAAUAACUCAACUCAUCUUGGAUCAGUUCAGCUCACCUCCACUGACCUCGCCCCAGCUCAGCCCCUUCCCUCAGGGCCAAGUCAAUUCAGCUCAGACCAGCUCAACUCAAGAGCUCAAGUCAAUGCAACAUCCCAGUGUCUUCCUUUCCCUUCUGUGAAAUGGGCCUGUGCUGCUAUUUUUUAGGGUGGUUAUGGGAAUAGAUCAAUAAUUCUGCCAACUCUAGAUUUGGCAAAGAAGGAUGCCUGGACCCCAACUUAGAGAACCACCUAUGCAGACAGGGGAGGAAGAUGCCCAGCACACAGCAGGGCCCAUGGCUGUAUUAUGUUUGUAGUAUGCUUGGUCUGUAUCAUGCCUGCCUCAGUGCCCUCCUUCCAGAGCUGGCAGACAAAGGACUUAGGCUAGGAUGUAGGAAUUUGAGCUGAGCCCAGGACAUAAACAGAUACCCAGUGCCUCCCUGAGCCAGGACCCCAAGGGAAGUCUAUGAAGGCUGAUUCCCAGUUACUCUGUCCUCUGUCCCUGAAGCCCUUGAGUAACUUAUUUAACUUCUCUGAGCCUCAGUCUCACCAUCCCUACAGUGAGGAGUUCUUAGACUUACCUCUUGCUUGUUCUGACAGGGUUCUUCUUAGAUUGGACAAAUAAUCUUAUCCCUGGCUGCAUCUGCAAAGGGCAAGCCCCGCUGUGCGUAAUUCCAAGCACAGAAGGAGUCACAGUGGGGCGAGCUCUCUGCCGGUCUUGGGGAAAGAGUUACUUAUACUCAAAACUGCUUGUUCAGGGGACUUGACUAUCUCUUUGGGAAAGAAAAGGACCAUGGCCUGUGAAAGCCCCAUUCACUCUGGCCAGGGUAGGUCGUGGCUGAGCUUGGAGAAGCAGGGCCUGCUUCCGGGCCUGAAUUUCAGAUUUAAAUACUCUGUGUGCCUAACAAGUGCGUCUCAACAGCCUCAGUUUUGGGAAGCUCAUGGAGGCCCGUGUACGGCAUCUUCAUAAAGUCAAAAUAAAGUUGAGUUGUUGAGCUGAU